rnacentral:rRNA from 1 species
UACGGAGGAUGCGAGCGUUAUCCGGAUUUAUGGGGUUUAAAGGGUGCGCAGGCGGCACGGCAAGCCGGCGGUCAAAUCGCGGGGCUCAACCCCGCCCAGCCGUCGGAACUGCCGGGCUAGAGUGGGCGAGAAGUGCGCGGAAUGCGUGGUGUAGCGGUGAAAUGCAUAGAUAUCACGCAGAACUCCGAUUGCGAAGGCAGCGCACCGGCGCCCUACUGACGCUCAGGCACGAAAGCGUGGGUAUCGAACAGG